AAAAAAUUAGUUAAAUAUAUAACAUUAAUUUGUCAAAUUAAAAUUAUUUAAAAUUUUAAAUAUUUUUUU
rnacentral:tRNA from 1 species